rnacentral:snRNA from 1 species
GUGCUCACUUUAGUAGCACGUACACUAAAAUCGUAAUGGCAUACAGAAGAUAGUGCGGCCCCUGCACAAGGAUGCCAUGCAAAUUUGUGAAGCAUUCCAUAUUUUU